rnacentral:rRNA from 1 species
GAUGAACGCUGGCGGCGUGCUUAACACAUGCAAGUCGAACGGGAAACCUUUUAUUGAAGCUUCGGCAGAUUUAGCUGGUUUCUAGUGGCGGACGGGUGAGUAACGCGUGGGUAACCUGCCUUAUACAGGGGGAUAACAACCAGAAAUGGUUGCUAAUACCGCAUAAGCGCACAGGACCGCAUGGUCCGGUGUGAAAAACUCCGGUGGUAUAAGAUGGACCCGCGUUGGAUUAGCUAGUUGGCAGGGUAACGGCCUACCAAGGCGAUGAUCCAUAGCCGGCCUGAGAGGGUGAACGGCCACAUUGGGACUGAGACACGGCCCAGACUCCUACGGGAGGCAGCAGUGGGGAAUAUUGCACAAUGGGGGAAACCCUGAUGCAGCGACGCCGCGUGAAGGAAGAAGUAUCUCGGUAUGUAAACUUCUAUCAGCAGGGAAGAUAGUGACGGUACCUGACGAAGAAGCCCCGGCUAACUACGUG